rnacentral:rRNA from 1 species
GAGGUAUCAGAAGUGCGAAUGCUGACAUAAGUAACGAUAAAGCGGGUGAAAAGCCCGCUCGCCGGAAGACCAAGGGUUCCUGUCCAACGUUAAUCGGGGCAGGGUGAGUCGACCCCUAAGGCGAGGCCGAAAGGCGUAGUCGAUGGGAAACAGGUUAAUAUUCCUGUACUUGGUGUUACUGCGAAGGGGGGACGGAGAAGGCUAUGUUGGCCGGGCGACGGUUGUCCCGGUUUAAGCGUGUAGGCUGGUUUUCCAGGCAAAUCCGGAAAAUCAAGGCUGAGGCGUGAUGACGAGGCACUACGGUGCUGAAGCAACAAAUGCCCUGCUUCCAGGAAAAGCCUCUAAGCAUCAGGUAACAUCAAAUCGUACCCCAAACCGACACAGGUGGUCAGGUAGAGAAUACCAAGGCGCUUGAGAGAACUCGGGUGAAGGAACUAGGCAAAAUGGUGCCGUAACUUCGGGAGAAGGCACGCUGAUAUGUAGGUGAAGUCCCUUGCGGAUGGAGCUGAAAUCAGUCGAAGAUACCAGCUGGCUGCAACUGUUUAUUAAAAACACAGCACUGUGCAAACACGAAAGUGGACGUAUACGGUGUGACGCCUGCCCGGUGCCGGAAGGUUAAUUGAUGGGGUUAGCGGUAACGCGAAGCUCUUGAUCGAAGCCCCGGUAAACGGCGGCCGUAACUAUAACGGUCCUAAGGUAGCGAAAUUCCUUGUCGGGUAAGUUCCGACCUGCACGAAUGGCGUAAUGAUGGCCAGGCUGUCUCCACCCGAGACUCAGUGAAAUUGAACUCGCUGUGAAGAUGCAGUGUACCCGCGGCAAGACGGAAAGACCCCGUGAACCUUUACUAUAGCUUGACACUGAACAUUGAGCCUUGAUGUGUAGGAUAGGUGGGAGGCUUUGAAGUGUGGACGCCAGUCUGCAUGGAGCCGACCUUGAAAUACCACCCUUUAAUGUUUGAUGUUCUAACGUUGGCCCCUGAUCGGGGUUGCGGACAGUGUCUGGUGGGUAGUUUGACUGGGGCGGUCUCCUCCUAAAGAGUAACGGAGGAGCACGAAGGUUGGCUAAUCCUGGUCGGACAUCAGGAGGUUAGUGCAAUGGCAUAAGCCAGCUUGACUGCGAGCGUGACGGCGCGAGCAGGUGCGAAAGCAGGUCAUAGUGAUCCGGUGGUUCUGAAUGGAAGGGCCAUCGCUCAACGGAUAAAAGGUACUCCGGGGAUAACAGGCUGAUACCGCCCAAGAGUUCAUAUCGACGGCGGUGUUUGGCACCUCGAUGUCGGCUCAUCACAUCCUGGGGCUGAAGUAGGUCCCAAGGGUAUGGCUGUUCGCCAUUUAAAGUGGUACGCGAGCUGGGUUUAGAACGUCGUGAGACAGUUCGGUCCCUAUCUGCCGUGGGCGCUGGAGAACUGAGGGGGGCUGCUCCUAGUACGAGAGGACCGGAGUGGACGCAUCACUGGUGUUCGGGUUGUCAUGCCAAUGGCACUGCCCGGUAGCUAAAUGCGGAAGAGAUAAGUGCUGAAAGCAUCUAAGCACGAAACUUGCCCCGAGAUGAGUUCUCCCUGACUCCCUGAGAGUCCUGAAGGAACGUUGAAGACGACGACGUUGAUAGGCCGGGUGUGUAAGCGCAGCGAUGCGUUGAGCUAACCGGUACUAAUGAACCGUGAGGCUUAACCUU